rnacentral:ncRNA from 1 species
GAACUGAUAAUCCGAUAGGUGGAAUGAUGGAGUAACGCCCUGAAACGCCUACCCUGAUACUCCGGCAGGCGGUGUAAAAGCUGUCUGAAGCCCGGUGAAGUCGGCAGAGAGAUGUCGUAGUGCGAAUCAGCGGAAAGCCACGCAACCGAAAGUUGUCCAGAGGUGGAUGGUGCAUCCUAUAUGCCGGGGGUCUAUAAA